rfam:Dokdonella koreensis DS-123, complete genome.
CGUCGGUUCUCCCGCGACGAUAGCCUGCGAAUUCCGCCAGGUCCGGAAGGAAGCAACGGUAGCAGGUGAUUCGGGUGCCGGGAUCAGGCUGGCGGAG